UGCAGGGUAGGGGAGCGGCCGUCCCCGUUGGUCUCAUACGCCAAAGAUCGCGAGUUCAAAUUUCGCCUCUGCAACCA
rnacentral:tRNA from 1 species